GGCAAGUCUGGUGCCAGCAGCCGCGGUAACUCCAGCUCCAAUAGCGUAUAUUAAAGUUGCUGCAGUUAAAAAGCUCGUAGUUGGAUCUCGGUUGCACUGUUGCCCGUCGGUUAUUGGGCAGUUGGCUUGGGUGCAUGGGUACGCCUGUGUGGCCGCGGUCGGCUGUUCCGAGCUGGCGAGGUGGUGGUGUCGCCUUUUAGCCAUGUCUGUGGUGAAAUACCCACGGGUGUAAGCGGGUGUCGGGCGGUGCUCUGCGACAGUGGGGUCCGUCGGCCCGUUUGCAUGCCUUUGGAUGCCCUUCAAAAGGUGUCUGCGGGCGGAUGGCACGUUUACUUUGAACAAAUUUGAGUGCUCAAACCAGGCCGAUGUUGCCUGAAAAGUUUUGCAUGGAAUAAUGGAAUAGGACUUCGGUUCUAUUUCGUUGGUUUUCGGAUCCGAAGUAAUGAUCAAAAGAGACAGGCGGGGACGUUUGUAUGGCUGCGCUAGAGGUGAAAUUCAUGGACCGUAGCCAGACAAACUAAAGCGAAAGCAUUCGUCAAGCAUGUUUUCAUUGGCCAUGAGCGAAAGUCAGAGGCUCGAAGACGAUCAGAUACCGUCCUAGUUCUGACCAUAAACGAUGCCAACUGACGAUCCGUGGUGGUAGUCUAUCAACCUUCCCCACGGGCAGCCCCCGGGAAACCUUUAAGUCUUUGGGUUCCGGGGGAAGUAUGGUUGCAAAGCUGAAACUUAAAGGAAUUGACGGAAGGGCACCACCAGGAGUGGAGCCUGCGGCUUAAUUUGACUCAACACGGGAAAACUCACCCGGGCCGGACACUAUGAGGAUUGACAGAUUAAAAGCUCUUUCUUGAUUUGGUGGUUGGUGGUGCAUGGCCGUUCGUAGUUGGUGGAGCGAUUUGUCUGGUUAAUUCCGAUAACGAACGAGACUCCUGCCUGCUAAUUAGUGCAUCUGUCCACUGUGCCUGUGUAGGCGGCGCUUGGCAAUGCUGCUCCUGUUUAAGCUGUCUUGUGGUCGGGUGCCCUCGGGUGCCUUGGCUACUUGGUGGUGGGGUUGUGGCUGGUCCGGUGUUAGCUUCCGGGUACGGCGCGGGUGUAUACUUCUUAGAGGGACAAGCGGGAGAAGCCGCACGAAAUGGAGCAAUAACAGGUCUGUGAUGCCCUUAGAUGUCCGGGGCCGCACGCGCGCUACAAUGACGGUGGCAAUGAGUUAGACCUCCUGGCCCGAAAGGGUUGGGCAAACUGGUCAAUCACCGUCAUAACAGGGAUCGGGGCUUGGAAUUGUUCCCCGUGAACGAGGAAUUCCUAGUAAGUGCAAGUCAUAAGCUUGCGCUGAUUACGUCCCUGCCCUUUGUACACACCGCCCGUCGCUACUACCGAUUGAAUGG
rnacentral:rRNA from 2 species